GACGAACGCUGGCGGCGUGCUUAACACAUGCAAGUCGAACGGAAAGGCCCUGCUUUUGUGGGGUGCUCGAGUGGCGAACGGGUGAGUAACACGUGAGUAACCUGCCCUUGACUUUGGGAUAACUUCAGGAAACUGGGGCUAAUACCGGAUAGGAGCUCCUGCUGCAUGGUGGGGGUUGGAAAGUUUCGGCGGUUGGGGAUGGACUCGCGGCUUAUCAGCUUGUUGGUGGGGUAGUGGCUUACCAAGGCUUUGACGGGUAGCCGGCCUGAGAGGGUGACCGGCCACAUUGGGACUGAGAUACGGCCCAGACCCCUACGGGAGGCAGCAGGGGGGAAUUUUGCAAAAGGGGCGGAAGCCUGAUGCGGAAACGCCGGGGGCGGGAUGACGGCCUUGGGGUUGUAAACCGUUUUCGCCUGUGACGAAGGGUGGGUGACGGUAAUGGGUAAAGAAGCACCGGCUAACUACGU
rnacentral:rRNA from 1 species